rnacentral:rRNA from 1 species
UACGUAGGGGGCAAGCGUUGUCCGGAUUUAUUGGGCGUAAAGAGCGUGUAGGCGGCCAUGUAGGUCCGUUGUGAAAACUCGAGGCUCAACCUCGAGACGCCGAUGGAAACCAUGUGGCUAGAGUCCGGAAGAGGAGAGUGGAAUUCCUGGUGUAGCGGUGGAAUGCGCAGAUAUCGGGAGGAACACCGGUGGCGAAGGCGGGUCUCUGGGCAGUAACUGACGCUGAGGAGCGAAAGCGUGGGGAGCGAACGGG